rnacentral:lncRNA from 1 species
UGGAGAGGCAACUUGAAACCUGGGAACCAGAAACUUCCCCAUCCUUUUGGGAAGAGAACUGAGACCUGGAGAGGAAAGAGUUGUGGAGAAGAAGCACACUGCAAAGAACAGGGACAGGAAGUGCCUUGAGCUCAGUUAUUGUUUGGAAAGGCAUUCACAUUUUCUUUUUGCCCAGCACAUUUCCAAAAUACAAUCCAGAGAAGAGAGACAAAUGUUACCCACCUUCCCAGAGCAGCCAGGACUGGUGUGAGCUCAGGGCCUGUCAAGCCCCCUGCCCUAACACUGUGUAUUUAUUCAGAAGGAAAACCAUCAAAGAACUCCAUAACCAACUAAAAGGACAAGGAGAACUGCAGUUCAGAGGACAUUAUCUCCAUGAGAAAAUGGAACAUUUUCUUCUUCAGUAGUGAUUACUCACUAAAACCAUGACCCUGGAGAGUGUGCCACCUUGCCACCGUGACUAUAGCACCAAUGUCCAUGGCACAGACACAUAGAGAGGUGCACACUGUGGUGUGAAGCCAUUUCCCAGCAUCAGGAAAAGCCUG